CUACGGGGUGCUGCAGUGAGGAAUAUUGCACAAUGGGGGGAACCCUGAUGCAGCAACGCCGCGUGGAGGAUGACGCAUUUCGGUGUGUAAACUCCUUUUAUAUGUCAAGAAAAUGACGGUAGCAUAUGAAUAAGCGCCGGCUAACUCCGUGCCAGCAGCCGCGGUAAUACGGAGGGCGCAAGCGUUACUCAGAAUCACUGGGCGUAAAGGACGCGUAGGCGGGUUGAAAAGUCAGGUGUGAAAGCCUACAGCUUAACUGUAGAACUGCACUUGAAACUCUCAACCUAGAGUAUGGGAGGGGCAGAUGGAAUUAGUGGUGUAGGGGUAAAAUCCGUAGAUAUCACUAGGAAUACCUAAAGCGAAGGCGAUCUGCUGGAACAUUACUGACGCUAAGGCGUGAAAGCGUGGGGAGCAAACAGGAUUAGAUACCCCAGUAGUC
rnacentral:rRNA from 1 species